rnacentral:rRNA from 1 species
GAUGAACGCUGGCGGCGUGCCUAAUACAUGCAAGUCGAGCGAACAGACGAGGAGCUUGCUCCUCUGACGUUAGCGGCGGACGGGUGAGUAACACGUGGAUCACCUACCUAUAAGACUGGGAUAACUUCGGGAAACCGGAGCUAAUACCGGAUAAUAUAUUGAACCGCAUGGUUCAAUAGUGAAAUACGGUUUUGCUGUCACUUAUCGAUGGAUCCGGGCCGCAUCAGCUAGUUGGUAAGGUAACGGCUUACCAAGGCGACGAUGCGUAGCCGACCUGAGAGGGGGGUAGCCGACACUGGAACGGAGACACGGUCCAGACGCCUACGGUAGGCCGCAGUAGGGAAUGUUCCGCAAUGGGCGAGAGCCUGACGGAGUAACGCGGCGUGAGUGAUGAAGGUGUUCGGAGCGGAAAACUCUGUUAUGAGGGAAGAACAAAUUUGGAAGUAACUAUGCACGUCUUGACGGUACCUAAUCAGAAAGCAACGGCUAACUACGUG